UAGGAAUCUUCCACAAUGGACGCAAGUCUGAUGGAGCAACGCCGCGUGAGUGAAGAAGAUCUUCGGAUCGUAAAACUCUGUUGUUAGAGAAGAACACGAGUGAGAGUAACUGUUCAUUCGAUGACGGUAUCUAACCAGCAAGUCACGGCUAACUACGUGCCAA
rnacentral:rRNA from 1 species